CCUGAUCCCACGCUAAGCCCCGCGCGCAAAGCUGUGCGGAGCCUGGAGGCCGCGCGGGUCCCAGGUCUGGGCCAUGUCUGGCUGUGACGCUCGGGAGGGAGACUGUUGUUCUCGGAGAUGCGACGCGCAGAACCCAGCCAGCACAUAUAUCCUUGAGGACAAGGACACAGACUGGAAGAAAACGGUCUUGCUCAGGUGGCAGUACAGUGGUAAGAUCAUGGCUCCCUGUAGCCUCAACCUCCCAGUCUCAAGCAAUACCCCUGCCUCAGGCUGCCAACUUGCUAAGACUACAGGCAAGCGCCACCAUGCCCGGCUAACAUUUUAUGUUUUUGUUUUUGUUUUUAUGUAG
rnacentral:lncRNA from 13 species